CCUGCCAGCUCUAGGCCCAAAUUUUAAUUUUUCGGGUGUUCCCGUGCCACGGAAGGUUUGAUUUUCAUGGCAGAUUGGAAGCAGCCGUGUGUGGCCAGAGUUUGCUCUGCAGAGGUUAAAGGUGCUGGGGACAGAAGCCCCCGGUGUUCCCAUGGGAUGUCCACUGCCGUAUUCCUUCGAGCCAGCUCCUUGGUCUGCACUGCCUGCAGUCCUGGCUGAGCACAAACCAUUCUGCUGUGGGCAGCAUCAAAGGCAGAUCCUGGCUGCAGUGCCAUAGCGUGACUGAUCUCCAGCUGGGGAGCGCUGCUUGCAGGACAGAGAAAGGACAGAGCGGAGCUGAACUGGACGUGAAGACUGCUCUUUGCUGCUUGGAAACUGCGUCCCCUGGGACUCUCUGACUGAACUUAACCUGCAUUGUGUGCUCUUUAUCGAGUGUAACUUCUGAUUAAUAAAAUAAAUUUAUUUAGUCUUUGGAGUUUGCCUCCAAAAAAGGCA